AUUCCUUAAAUUGCAUAAUCGAUUCCUGUCUCAGCCAUUCAGCAAUGCCUAUCCAAAACAAUCGAUUAUUUCACAUACAUAAUCGAUUAUUUCAUGUCAGUAAUCCAAAAGUUUGUUACCGUUUGGUCCCGUAAUCGAUUACCACAUUUGACAAUCGAUUAUUUCAUGUCAGAAAUUUAAACUCUUGUUACUGUUUGGCUCCUCAAUCGAUUUGUGUUAGUUCCAAGUCAGGUC
rnacentral:lncRNA from 1 species